rnacentral:rRNA from 1 species
UACGGAGGGUGCGAGCGUUGUCCGGAAUCACUGGGCGUAAAGGGCGCGUAGGUGGCGCGGGCAGUCCACGGUGAAAGUUCGGGGCUCAACCCUGAAUCGGCCGUCGAUACUCCCGUGCUUGAGCACUGUAGAGGCAGAUGGAAUUCCGGGUGUAGCGGUGGAAUGCGUAGAGAUCCGGAAGAACACCGGUGGCGAAGGCGGUCUGCUGGGCAGUAGCUGACACUGAGGCGCGACAGCGUGGGGAGCAAACAGG